GGCUAGUGUGAAGGUAGUGAGUUAUUUCAACUGAUUGUUCCCAGUAAGUUACAGAUUGAACUCCUUGUUCUACUUCCCCCUCUCACUAUUGCACUUGACUAGUCGAAA
rnacentral:Y_RNA from 1 species